rnacentral:rRNA from 3 species
CAUAGGUUAAUGAGGCGAACCGGGGGAACUGAAACAUCUAAGUACCCCGAGGAAAAGAAAUCAACCGAGAUUCCCCCAGUAGCGGCGAGCGAACGGGGAGCAGCCCAGAGCCUGAAUCAGUGUGUGUGUUAGUGGAAGCGUCUGGAAAGGCGCGCGAUACAGGGUGACAGCCCCGUACACAAAAAUGCACAUACUGUGAGCUCGAUGAGUAGGGCGGGACACGUGGUAUCCUGUCUGAAUAUGGGGGGACCAUCCUCCAAGGCUAAAUACUCCUGACUGACCGAUAGUGAACCAGUACCGUGAGGGAAAGGCGAAAAGAACCCCGGCGAGGGGAGUGAAAAAGAACCUGAAACCGUGUACGUACAAGCAGUGGGAGCACGCUUAGGCGUGUGACUGCGUACCUUUUGUAUAAUGGGUCAGCGACUUAUAUUCUGUAGCAAGGUUAACCGAAUAGGGGAGCCGAAGGGAAACCGAGUCUUAACUGGGCGUUAAGUUGCAGGGUAUAGACCCGAAACCCGGUGAUCUAGCCAUGGGCAGGUUGAAGGUUGGGUAACACUAACUGGAGGACCGAACCGACUAAUGUUGAAAAAUUAGCGGAUGACUUGUGGCUGGGGGUGAAAGGCCAAUCAAACCGGGAGAUAGCUGGUUCUCCCCGAAAGCUAUUUAGGUAGCGCCUCGUGAAUUCAUCUCCGGGGGUAGAGCACUGUUUCGGCAAGGGGGUCAUCCCGACUUACCAACCCGAUGCAAACUGCGAAUACCGGAGAAUGUUAUCACGGGAGACACACGGCGGGUGCUAACGUCCGUCGUGAAGAGGGAAACAACCCAGACCGCCAGCUAAGGUCCCAAAGUCAUGGUUAAGUGGGAAACGAUGUGGGAAGGCCCAGACAGCCAGGAUGUUGGCUUAGAAGCAGCCAUCAUUUAAAGAAAGCGUAAUAGCUCACUGGUCGAGUCGGCCUGCGCGGAAGAUGUAACGGGGCUAAACCAUGCACCGAAGCUGCGGCAGCGACGCUGAUGCGUUGUUGGGUA